rnacentral:rRNA from 1 species
GACGAACGCUGGUGGCGUGCUUAACACAUGCAAGUCGAACGGGAUUUAGUAAACAGAAGCCUCGGUGGAAGAUUACUAAUGAGAGUGGCGAACGGGUGAGUAACGCGUGAGCAACCUGCCUAUGACAGUGGGAUAGCCUCGGGAAACCGGGAUUAAUACCGCAUAAAAUCGUAGAAACACAUGUUUUAACGGUCAAAGAUUUAUCGGUCAUAGAUGGGCUCGCGUCUGAUUAGCUAGUUGGUGAGAUAACAGCCCCCCAAGGCGACGAUCAGUAGCCGGUCUGAGAGGAUGAACGGCCACAUUGGAACUGAGACACGGUCAAACUCCUACGGGAGGCAGCAGUGGGGAAUAUUGCACAAUGGGGGAAACCCUGAUGCAGCGACGCCGCGUGAACGAAGAAGGUAUUCGUAUCGUAAAGUUCUGUCCUAUGGGAAGAUAAUGACAGUACCAUAGAAGAAAGCGCCGGCUAAAUACGUG